rnacentral:rRNA from 1 species
UGCCAGCCGCCGCGGUAAUACGUAGGGAGCGAGCGUUGUCCGGAAUCAUUGGGCGUAAAGAGCGCGUAGGUGGAUCAGUUAGUCUGCUGUGAAAGUCAAAGGCUCAACCUUUGAAAGCCGGUGGAUACUGUUGAUCUAGAGUACGGAAGAGGCGAGUGGAACUCCUGGUGUAGCGGUGGAAUGCGCAGAUAUCAGGAAGAACACCAAUAGCGAAGGCAGCUCGCUGGGACGUUACUGACACUGAGGCGCGAAAGCGUGGGGAGCAAACAGGAUUAGAUA